AUCGGAUGCACCUAAUAAUUUAUUGUGCUUCUAUGAUUCUGUUGCAUGCGCAAGCAUAAUCAGUUGUGGUAGGUCUAUUUUUCCUGUUACAUUUUUUUCCCCUUUCACAAUGGCAAUAGAUAGCGGAACUCUGAUUCAUAAGGCUGAAUUUCCGCCAUUUUUGUUGAAGGAUAUUUCGUUUCUCCAUUUAUGCACUCCAUCAUCAAUCUUUUGAGUGACCCAGAGCGCGGCAAUUGGCUAUAAAUCCAUUCCAGUAGUGAUUCCAUGCUGUCUGCAAAAUCUUGCAUGUGCCACUGCAGAAGCUUGGGAAUCACUAUUUUUCUCUUGCUUGUAACCCCAACUGAAGCUUCCAGAUACUCGACUUUCGCUUUCUCCAAUUCAUUCGUCACUUCUUCAGGUGUAUAAACCCUUAGUGCUGGGGAGGACCAAGUGCCCCUGCAAAGAGCAAAUGUCACGUUGGAUUCUGGAUACCCAAGACCAUAAGCAUGUCGUAGUAGCAUUUCCUUCUCAUCUGAAGGGCCAUGUUUUGAUUCACAUGGAUGCCGGAGAAUAAAAUGCUCGAUGGCCAAGGCAUUCAGCACUAUCCCGCCCACAUUCAAUGUAGCCUUGUUCAUGAUUGCCAACAGUUUCUCCUGUGAGGAAGGCAGUCCAUGCUCUAGAAAUGCCUGGAAAUUUCAUAAAAACAAGUACACUUGAUAUUGAUGUAUAAGACAUUUAUUUGAUUUGCAUGAUUUAGCUUAAGAUGUCUUACUGUACAUGCAUUAUGCUGGCGUUGUAGAUAUUGAUCCAAAAUGCUAGCUUCUGCUUGUAGGUCAAGAAUGUCAAUUCAACAUUACCUAAUUUAUGAAUUAAAACCCUGAAAGAAGUAGCAGAAUAUGACAUAAAUACUCAGAUAUGUCUGUUAAAAAAAUCAGUGUCUUCUCAGGAAAACUGUUGCAACCUCAAUUUUCCAGUUUGUGGCAAGCAUUCUGCAAAAUGACCGAUAUCUAACGAGUUUCUAGCAAUGUGGAUGAAGUUCUUGUAAGGUCCAAUGUCCCUGAUAGUGCUGUCUAAAUCUGGCAUAAUGCAAUAGGGAUCAAGAUUUGAUAUAUUGUGGUUGAAAGGAAACAUGCAUGCUUUACAGUUGAAAGAGGUCUUUGAGCUUUUUGAACUCAUACAUGAGAGGCCAAGCUUUGGGAUAAUGGCUGAUUCUUGUCUAUCCUUUGGUGCCUGCUUUAGAGCAAGAAAUAUGCCUAUUAGGCAUUUGAUUAGUUCUUCUGAGAGUUCAUUUGGUUUCUCAUCACAAAUCUCUUUAUACAUAUGGUGUUCCUUCUGCAUUCUACCUCUUCUUGAUUUUUCAUCGCUAGUGGAACCUGUGGAAAGCACAUAUGACAUUUCCUCUGCAGAACCCACUGAAGCUCUCCUUAAUUUCAUGUUCUCUUUCCUGAACUCUUUAUAAUGCUUUGAUCUAGAUAGGUGACCGGAAUCAUCAUCAAGCACCGAUGAAUUUCCCGGUCUGCAUGGUGGUAAAUGAUUCUGGUGCCUCAGUUUCCUCUGCUGCUUCCUUUGUAGUUUCCAUUUCUGAGUUUGUUUCCUCUCUUGGUACAAGUUCAGUUUCAGCUCAUCAACUUUUCUCUCUAGCCAUAGGAUCUCCUCCUCUACCAUUGCUAGUUCUGCAAGAAGCCCCUGAACCUGAGGUGGAAGCAAAGAGGCAAGACAUGGUUGUGAUGAGACAGGACCAUGGAGUGCACAGUAUAAGACCUUGUUUAUCAUCUGUUCCUCUUCAAAUUCUAAUCUUAAAUUUUCAACCUCCUUCUCUAGAUCAAGCCUUUUCUGCUUAUCAUCUUUUUGUUGCAUCAGGUAGUCUUCAAAUUUCAUUAUUGGGGAAGAGAAGGGAAAAGAAUCAAACUUGGCAAUCUCAGCGCAACAUUUUAGGUGCUGGCAAGUCAGAGACCCUUAAUAAAACAGAGAGGGAGGGUUCACUUGGAUCGUGGGUACCAUUAAGGGUUUAGUUAGAAGAGAAAAAGAAGAACUGAAAAAACUGAGGGCGUGGAAAUAAUGGAGUGGACAAAAGGGAGACUAACAAUGUGCGGUGGAAAGAAUCUUUAGCUGUAAAUGGAGGUGGUAG
rnacentral:misc_RNA from 1 species